rnacentral:rRNA from 1 species
UACAGAGGGGGCAAGCGUUGUUCGGAUUCAUUGGGCGUAAAGGGCGCGUAGGCGGCGCGGUAAGUCGGGUGUGAAAUCUCGGAGCUUAACUCCGAAACUGCAUUCGAUACUGCCGUGCUUGAGGACUGGAGAGGAGACUGGAAUUUACGGUGUAGCGGUGAAAUGCGUAGAUAUCGUAAGGAAGACCAGUGGCGAAGGCGGGUCUCUGGACAGUUACUGACGCUGAGGCGCGAAGGUCAGGGGAGCAAACGGG